rnacentral:rRNA from 1 species
AGCAGCAGCCGCGGUAAUACAGAGGGUGCGAGCGUUAAUCGGAUUUACUGGGCGUAAAGCGUGCGUAGGCGGCUUCUUAAGUCGGAUGUGAAAUCCCUGAGCUUAACUUAGGAAUUGCAUUCGAUACUGGGAAGCUAGAGUUUGGGAGAGGAUGGUAGAAUUCCAGGUGUAGCGGUGAAAUGCGUAGAGAUCUGGAGGAAUACCGAUGGCGAAGGCAGCCAUCUGGCCUAAUACUGACGCUGAGGUACGAAAGCAUGGGGAGCAAACAGGAUUAGAUACCCCGGUAGUCCCUGUCUCUUAUAA